GAACGCUGGCGGCAGGCCUAACACAUGCAAGUCGAACGGUAACAGGAAACAGCUUGCUGUUUCGCUGACGAGUGGCGGACGGGUGAGUAAUGUCUGGGAAACUGCCUGAUGGAGGGGGAUAACUACUGGAAACGGUAGCUAAUACCGCAUAACGUCGCAAGACCAAAGAGGGGGACCCUCGGGCCUCUUGCCAUCGGAUGUGCCCAGAUGGGAUUAGCUUGUUGGUGGGGUAACGGCUCACCAAGGCGACGAUCCCUAGCUGGUCUGAGAGGAUGACCAGCCACACUGGAACUGAGACACGGUCCAGACUCCUACGGGAGGCAGCAGUGGGGAAUAUUGCACAAUGGGCGCAAGCCUGAUGCAGCCAUGCCGCGUGUAUGAAGAAGGCCUUCGGGUUGUAAAGUACUUUCAGCGGGGAGGAAGGGAGUAAAGUUAAUACCUUGGCUCAUUGACGUUACCCGCAGAAGAAGCACCGGCUAACUCCGUG
rnacentral:rRNA from 1 species